UUGCGAUCAAGCAGAUCUGAUGAUGAGCGGUGAAAUCAGAAGCGCGUGAGAUUCCAUAAGCACAAAUAAACCAACAAAACAAACAAAAACAACAUGAAAUCAGUUCAGAAUUAUUACAAGUCUCGUUCGAUUUCAUAUCAUUUUCUACUAAUCCACAAAAAACAAGUAGAAUCAACUUAAAUUCAAAUCAGAAUCAUCUUAACCUAAAAAAUGUCAAUUGCAUCAAAUCAGUAUCAACUUAACCUAGAAAUAUCAAAUUAGAGCAAAAUAAAAACACAAAGGAACUACAUACCGCAAAUUCGUGAAGAGAAGUGAGAAGUGAUUAUGAGAUUGUGAGAAGUGAAGAAUCGAUUAUGAGAUGUGAUUCUGAGAUGAAGUGAAUAAUCGAUUGUGAGAAGUGAUUCUGUGAGAAGUGAGAAGUGAUUAUGAGAUGAGAUUGUGAGAAGUGAAGAAUGAUUGUGAGAAGUGAUUAUGAGAGAAGCGAUUAUGAGAUUAUGUGAUUUUGAGAAGUGAUUUGGUGUGAGUGGGUAAGAAGCGUGCUGUUGUUGUCCUGAGAGAGAGGGUAGUGUAAAAUGAAAAACCUGAUUCUAUCUCUCUGAAAAGUCAAAUAUAAUAAUCAAAGUAAAAAUAAAAUAAUUAAAGAGUAUUAAUAUUUUUUUUUUUUAGGCGUAACAGUUUUAAUAAUAUUAUAACUGUUGUUGUAUUAUUAUUGAAUAUAACUACUACCAUCCAUUAAUAUUGUGUUGUUGUUGUCCUAUUAGAAAACGGUUUUAUGGCAACCAUUUUAAAGUGGCGUUGCAUUACAUCUUAUUUGUUGUAGUGUAUGGUUCUAAUGUUGAUAAAGAAAAGAUUGUUCAAGUAAAGAUUGUCACUUCUAUGUUAAUGAUUAUAUUUUGUAUGUACUUUGCUGUCAAAAGUUAUUUUGUAAGCAAUACUUGAUGUAAUAUCUUGAAUUAUACUUGUUUGUAUUGUAUCACUAUCUCAUGUGGGAUUGGAAAUCUUUCCAACCUACAAAUGUGUAAGGCUUUAAUAACUAUUAUUAUCAUUCUUUAUAUCAAGAUUUUAAUUUGGAUAAUGGUUGUAAAAAAUGUAUUUGAUCCGAUGAGGAGUGUCUGAUAAUUUCCACUCUUUAAAAAAAUUUAUAAUUUUAGUUUAUAUUUAUAUAUAUUUUUUUAAAAAAAUAAUUCUGCCAAUAAAGUAUAGGGACGGUUUGUAACUGUUGUCAUUGUUUAACUCUAAGGCAACACUUAAAAACGUCGCGUAAGGUGUUCUUGGAAAAUCGUCCCCUUUUCCCUUAGUUUAGGCGACGAUUAUGAAUAGUGCGCCCAAAGAGUGACAAAAAACGUCCCCUUAGACUAUAGGCAACGCUUGUAUAGGAGACACCUAAAAAACGUCCCCUAUACUCUUUGGCAUUUUACGUAAUUCUGGCAACGUUUUUCAGGCGUUGUUAGAGAGAAUAAAUGGUGUAGUGUUGGUUUAAUGAAGUGAUGUUGUUUUAUUGAAUGAUGAUGUGAUACUAUGACUACUGUAACGCCACAGAUUUUAAUCUAAGACAUUACUUAAAUAUUAUUUAUUCAUUAGAAAAUAUAAGUGUAUAUAUAUAUAUAUAUAUAUAUAUAUAUAUAUAUAUAUAUAUAUAUAUAUUUAAAUAAACAAGUUAAAAACUUAUGUUUCGCAAGUGUUAAAGACUUUGUUAUAUACGAAUAAUGAGCAAAUUAAGGGGGAUAGCUUUAUUCUUCAAAGAAAUAGCUGGUUUUUUUUGACAAUAUAGCAAACUAAGGAAAAGAGUAGAAUAGAAUUAUUGCACACUACGAUGAAGAUUAAGGAAAAUGCAAACUUCAUAAAUGUAAUUUUUAUAUUGCACAAUUCUUAAGCAUAACUCAUAACUCAUAAGUUAUAAAAGAAUAUUUGAUAGGGUAAGGAACAUUGAAAGAAUAUUAAGUAAUUGGUGGGGAGAGGGGGGACAAAUCUACUUACUAUGUAUAAAAUUUUAACUAUUUUUCAAUUUUUAUUUUUUAACUAUUUUUCAAUUUUUUUCACCCAAAUUCAGUUGCUUCUACAUUGUCGCCGUUGUGGGAGAUUAAGGUAUCAUUUGACCCGGCUUUUUUCCAACUUCUAUACAUUUUUAAGAAGAAGUUAGGUGAAACACACUAUCAAUUAUUUUAAUUUCAAUAUUGUUUAAUCUUCACAACCUCACAAAUAUUUUAAUUCAUACUGUCAUUUAAUGAUACCAAAUACUUUUAUUUCAUUUCUUCAACCUCGCAAAUAUUUACACACACACAUUAACGUUUAGAGUAAUAUUUUAUGUCCGUCUUUCUGUGUUUUUGUUACGCUGAUGCAUAUAAUUUUUUUUAGUGUUGCUUGGUUGAGUGCUACCUCACUGAUUUUUUUUUUUAACUAUUUUCCAAUUUUUUUAUUUUUAACUAUUUUCCAAUUUUUUCUUCCAAAUUCAGUUGCUUCUACACUACCAUUGUGGGAUAUUAAGAUACCGUUUGACCAGGUUUUUUUUUACUUCUCUACAUUUUUAAGGAGAAGUUAGGUCAAACACAAUAUCAAUUAAGUACUUACUAGAAAGUUAACUUUUUUUAAUGCAAAAAAAUUGAAUGGAAUGAGAUUUGGCCAAAAGUUGUUGAAUGCUACUUUAAAAAACUACUUCUCGACAAUAUAUUUCACAAACACCUCUUUUCAACUCACGCUGGGAACCUUUUUUUAUUUUUUAAUAUUAUAUUUCAAUAUGUUUUCUUUUCAUUUAACUUUAUUUUAUUUAUUUUUUUGAACCGUUCCAUUUAAUUUUAUUAUCUUUUUUUCAAAAUAAUUUUAUUAUCUUCUUAUCACUUAUAUAUUUAAUUUAAAUAUCGUUUAAUCAUAACAACCUCACAAAUAUUUUUAUUCACGCUAUCAUUUAAUGAUACAAAAUAUUUUUAUUUUCUUUCAUUAACCUCGCAAAUUCACACACACAUAUUAGUGUUUAGAGUAAUACUUUAUGUGUGUCUGUUUUUUUGUUACGCUAAUACGUAUAAUUUUUAUAAAAUUUUUAUUUUAAUUAAAAGUAAAAUUGUAGAUGUCUUUUCUUCAAAAAAGGUAUAGAUGCCUAAAAUAAUUAUGCUUAUAAUUAUGCUUAUCUUAUAUAUGCACCUUUAUAUCGUAACAAACUAUGCAUAUCUUUUUCUUAUUAAAAAAAAACUAAACAUUGCUAAAUAGAAAAUGUAUUAUUUUCUAUUUUGUCAGCAGCAGAUGAUAGGAUUUUGUAUAAGUUUGAUAAUGAUCCGAAAGAUAUCUUUCCUUAUGUAGUGGGAAUAUAGUUGAUGUAACACUAUGAGAAAAAUACUACGUAGCUUUAUCAUUUACCAUUUAUUUACCUUGAGUUAUUUGUUUCCAUUUUGUAGUCAAUGACAGCCCAAAUAUAUGUAACAAUUGAUCAGGUUCGAGGUUGCUCAUCAACCUACAUCAUUCGGUUGUUGAGAAGUUUAAGACUUAGUAAGUUUGCAUUAUGAUUUUACAAUACAAUGUUAGAGUAACUUAUUAUUUCACAAUCCGAUUUAAUUGUUUUUUGACCAUGUUUCUUGAAUUGUUGUCGUGACCUUAACACUUCUCAAGCUCAGAGUCAAAGAAGGUGGUAAGCUCGUCUUUGAUCUCGAAAGGUCACAGAAGAACUUGCAAAUUCGAGUUGUUCCAAAGUAGAUCUUUGUUGUUGAACUAUUUUAACUUCUACUAUUUUGACGUAUCGAUUUGCAUUGUAGUGGUAAACUAUUUUGACUUUGGGAUCUCAUUUGUUCUUUUCAUUUUGUCUGAUGUAAAUAUUGGCAAAAAUCCAUUUUUUGGUUUGUCUAUGAAACUUGCAAUAUCUUUUAUAAACCUAACUAUUAUGUAACGUUAAUCUGCACAUUGUUGGUUCCUUCAUUGGUUCCAAUUAGUAUCAUGUUAAUUGUAAUGUUGUUUUCCUAAUCUCUUGAACAAAAUAAAAUAUGCUCUUUUCCUACAGUAAAUCUUUAUAAUGCUUUGGUAAAUGUUUUAGAAAUGUACAUAUAUAUAACUUCUAAUUAACACUGCAAUUUGUUUUGUAUCUAGCACUUCUCAAAUGAGAUAUCAAUGACAUUUCUAAAAGGAACACGGAAAACAAUCACACUCAUCGACAAACAAGCUCAAAAAAGGUAUAAGUGUCGCUUGAUAACGGCAAAGAGAGCAAGUAACAAAAAAUACUUAGGCGGCUAAUGGUUCAAAUUUUGCCGAGAACUUAUGUUAGAGGUAAGUGAUAAGUUAAUUUUUGAUCUAGAGAAGCCACCUAAAAAUAUGCACGUUCAAAUCGUUUCCAAAUAAAGAUUUGGUGUUCAUGAUCCGCAUUUUCAAUAGAUCAACUUAACUCUAAUCCUAGACUAGAUUAUCUUCACUCACCGAUGCUACUUCUUUGCUUGAUUUCAUUUGAUGUAAAUAUGGGUAUCAAUCAUUUUUUGGUAACUCUAUAACAACAACACUCUUUUUUAUAAUUUUGGAUAAUAUGUAAAUUCACACAUCAUUAGUUCCUUUAUUGGUUCCAAUUGUUUUCAUCAUAAAUAUUAUGUCAAUUCCUAAUCUCAUAAACUGAUUAUAUGCUCUGUUAAUCAUAAAUAUUAUGAUGAAUCACAAUGUUCCGUCGUUUUAACAUCUCUUCUUUCGAAGAUUUUUUUUAUCGAAUACAUUAUUGAACUUCGCACGGAUUUGUAACUAUUUAUAAACAAAAUCACGGCUAGUGAAUUCAAUGAUCAAAUAUUGAAGCUAACAGACUAUAAAAAACAUAGCUAGUUAUUCAAUUCAAUCAUCAACUUUCAUCCUUUGUUCUUCCAACAAACACUAUGCAAAUCACAAACAUCCUACGCGUUAAUGGCUGCCUGCAAUUGUUUAAGGCUUUUACCUUUGGUUCUGGGACUACUACAACUAUAAAUAAUAUAGCCAGUGCAUUGGUCGCAGCGUAAAGAACGAAGGUACAUGAAAAUAUUAAAUACAAGUAAACUUGCAUGUUCUAUUGGUUUCUUGAACUAAAUGGGAAAAUGAUUCUCAUAUAAUAAUGCUGAUCAGUGAUCAUUAAUCUUUGACUUAUUAGAUCGUUUGGUCCUUUAAUUAAUUUCAUGUUUUCAUUUUGGUCCCACAGUUAAUAAAAAUAGCAUUUUAGUCCCUCACCUUUUCCUCCAUUUGCCAAAUAAAUCCCGACUGUUAACUUUAACUUCAAAUGUCUAUGGUGGACCAACCUUAAAAGUGGUUCAUUGUAGACCUUAUUAAUUUUGUUAAUUUUAACCAUUCGAUCUAUUUAUCAUAAAAGAGACCAUUAGAUCUUCACCUUCUUUUUUAUGAAAUACCUAAAAUACCCCUAAUGCCAAAUUAAAAAUCCUGAUUUCUUCCUCUUCUUCUCCGGCGAGCAUCUUCUUCCACCUUCAUCAACACAACAUCAAUUAUAGCAGCAACAUCAACAACAACACAACAUCUUUUUUAAUCAACAACCUAGUAUCUUGCAACAUACAUUUCAAUGGUAGAAAAAUCCUUUUUAAAGAUUCUCUUUAGUGUAGCAAUAUGAUACCAACAACCUAGUAUCUUGCAACAUACAUUUCAAUGGUAGAAAUACUAUGAGAUUAGGAGGAAACAUAAAAAAAAAAAAAACCAAAGGUCGCGGUUUUUUAAUCAAUUGCUUUGAUGGGUUUCUCGAAUUAUUGCUUCUUUUUCUUCUCUUAUUCUAGAUUCAACAGCCGCUGUUAAACCCAACGUUGCCGUCGUCACAACCGUUGCCACCGCGCGCGACCUUGAACCACCACUGAUCCAUCGUUGUCAGCUGCCAGUUCCUUUUGCACAGAUCUGUGUUUAUGGGUUUGGGAAGAGAAGAGAAGAGAGAAGAAGAAAAGAGAAGAAAGGAAAAGAGGAAAAUAUAGAGACGUGACUAGAUGUUGAUGUUGUUCUGUUGAUGCAAAGAGGAAAAUAGGGAAUAAGAUUUGUUUGUAAAUGAUACCUUAUUGUUGUUCUGUUGGGCUGGGCACAAACAUCUUUUUUAGAAAGAAAGGAUGAUUAGAGUGUUGAUGAUCUUCUUUUUUGGGUUUUUUGUUUUAAUUUUUCUGGGUUUGUUUUUAUGAAUUUAUGAAUAUGAUUGAUGAAGAUCAAAAUAUAGAAGAUGAAGAAAAGGAAAAAAUCAGGUGUUGGUCGUACAUGUAAGAUAAAAUAAACCUGCCUAAUCCAAUGGUUCUCUUUUUAAAAGAAAAUCAAACGGCUGAAAUUAAAAUAAUUACUAGGAUCUAUGGUGGACCACUCUUAAGGUUGGUCUACCAUAGACAUCAUUUGAGGUUAAACUUAACUGUUGGGAUUUAUUUGGCAAACAGAGCAAAAGUUGAGGGACUAAUUCGCAAUUUUUAUUAAAUGUGGGAUCAAAAUGAAAACAUGAAAUUAGUUAAAGGACCAAACGAUCUAAUAAGCCUUAAUCUUUUAAACGAAGUAAAGCUGAAAAAUAAUGUAUUGCACCUUCCGUUUCAAAAUACAUGUCAAAGUCAACCACUUCACAUAUGCCAAUGCACAAUUUUGACCGUUAAUAUAUUUAAUUAUAUAAAGUAAAAAAUUAUAAAAAUUUAAUAUUUUGAAAAUAUUUGUUUAGACAAAUCAAACGACAUCUUACAUGCUAAUAUUUGUAUUUAUACAUUAGUUAAAAAGUAUGAUCAAAGUAAGUUAAGUCAAUAAUGCACAUUACAAAAAUUGGACAUGUAUUUUGAAACAAGGGAGCAGUAUUUAUUAUAUAAGAGAAUGAAUUCUAUUAUAGAAAGCUUCGGUACUGAUCUAUAAUCCUAGUGUCGGCCCCCCUCCUAAUUUCUCAAUCGAAGCUCUUUUCUCUUAACCCUUCUAUUUUUUUCUUUAUUUACGAUUUGCGGUUGCAAUUCUUUUUCUUAACCUUGCGAUUUCAUUUGUUACGUGGCUGACUUGCUUGCUUUGUCUACUUAUGGCUUGUAUUGAAACAUCACUGUGUGUUCCUACCUAGUUAAAUCACACCUUUCUUCCCUUCUUGUUUUGAAACAAUAUUGAAACAUAAUUCCCCUUGUUAUUUUUAUAUUAUCCCCUUAUUGUUUCUCUCUCCAAGCAAUUUUGAAUCAUCCUUCAUAUCUAAUCCUACCAAACAUAUUUAUCCUAAUUGCGAAACCCUAAACCUAAUUUUUUUGCUUCAACUUUUUGAAAUUUGAAUUUCAAAUUCUCUCAUAUCCCUCUUGCAUUGGAAAACGUGUUGGAAAACAUAUUCCAUAUCUCACCUAACCCACCACCACACCACCCCCCCUCUCUCUCUCUCUCUCUCCCUCCCUCCCUCUCUCUCUCUCUCUCUCCCCUCACACCCAUUGUCUAAACACCCAUUUUCUAAAGAGGAAUGAUAUUUGUACGACCAAUUCUAGAAAACUUUUGUGACAACCACUUUUUCUCUCUUCUUGUUGGAUAAAAACAAUAGAGAGAGAAAGAAGAAGAGAGAGAAUAAAAACGCAUGUGAGUAUGAGAGAGUUGUUCCAUAAGUUGUCAAAAUGUGGUUGUACAAAUAUCAUUUUUCUUUUCUAAAUGCCACCAUCGACCUCUACUCUACCACCAGAAUCUAGCGGACCUCCGCUGUAUUCGCUGCUUUUCUUCAUCCUCAUCGCCGUCGGUUCCGGCCACCGCACCGAAAUCUGGGUUUGUUUCUAUCUCAUUUAAACUGAUGGUAAGUUAAUUAAAUUUGUAUUUUUUGUGUCUUUAUUGGAUAAACAAUGGUGAUGUUUACAUGAUUUUUCAUCGUCCUCUACUGUUAGAGACAUGUUAUUCUCAAAUAUCAACAUUUUAUUUUAAUAAUAUGUUGGUUUUUCUUUUGGUUGUUCUUCAAUGGGCGAGUCCUCUGUAGAUGCUUGAAUGGUUGUGUUCUUUCACUCCUUAUUUGGGAGCUUUCCUUAAGUAAGUUUUUUAUUUGUCUAUCCUUUAGUUUCUUGAAACUAAUGAGGAAUUCAUUUUUAAGUUUUGUUGUAUUACAGACUCAUAUAUACAUUUACGUGUCUAGGGAUUUCAUGUCCAACCAACAACUAUAUAUAGUUUCUUAUGCUAAAAAUGAUAACAAGUAAUAUGGGCCUCUUAAGCUUUGAAUAAAGACAAGUAAUUAAUAUCUCAGAUUACUAAUAAUUAUGCAGAUUGAUUUAAUAGCUGAGAUGAUGUAUAAUUUCUAACAUCAUAAUUUCUAGCAUGGGAAAAUGUAUUUUUUGGGUGUGUUUGUUCAAAUGUUUAACUUUGUAUUCUUUUUUUGUUGUUGUUACUUAUGGUGGUUGUUAUGGUUUUUGUUCUAAUCAUGGCAAAUAAUUUGAGUUCAGUGUUUCAAAGUGAGCUUGAAAAUCUAUAGAAAGAGGCUAUGAGACCAAUACAAUUCACUUGCUUUUUGAAUUUUCCUAGAGUUUGGUGUUCUAUGUUAAAAAAAUUUAAAACCACUACCAUAUGAUGAAGCAAGAGUUUUAGAAUCAAGUGUUGUUUGACAUGAAGAUAUCUUUGUAAUCGAAGACGUCUCACUUGAUGCCACUGCGUUUAUUGUUUUAUUGUUAUGUUAGAUUACUUUAUCAUAUUCUUGAUUAAUUAUUUCCUUAUAUUUUUUAUAGUUAAAUCUGCAAUCUGUUUUUGAUGAUUCUAAAACAUUAUGUUUACUCCUAUGCACAAUAAGAAUUUCACCAAUUGAAUUUGGUAGAUAAUUAUCAACUAACUCAUGUAGUUUUUCAUUUAAAAGGGAAAUGGCACUCUAAAGCAGCAAUUAUAAUAGAUCCCUCCCUCUCUCAGUACCCCAAUGUUUAACUGCAAACAAGCACUAGCCAUCAAGAACCGAGAGAUAGCUAGAUGACACUGAUUUCACCAUGUAUUCUCAUAUUCUUCUCACUAUCUUAUUUUUGAAAGAUGUAAGAAUUAUCAUAUUUGCAUAGGUGUCCAGUGUUCAUGAGACAAUACUCUUUUAUGGAUGGAUUGCCACUUAAGACAGGUAUGAUUCCAUUUUGAUGAUGGGAAUAGGUUUCAAGAGAUUAUAUUUUAAUUAUCUUUUGCUAAAAUCAUAAUUUGAAUGUGAUAUAUGUUAUUCAUUUUCUUAUAUCUAUACAAUCAAAGCGGAAGAGUUUCUUUCUUAUAUCAUAAUUUGAAUGUGAUAUAUGUUAUUCAUUUUAAUUUGAAGGCAUUCAAUGGCUACUAUUUAGUCAAACUCUUAAGAAUGAGGAAUGUCAUGCGAUUGUAAUGAUGGGGAAAGAUUAAAUUAAAUAAUUAAAUGGCAUCAAUUGCUCCUAAGUAUCUAACCAAGGGUUAUGAUCAUUUGAAAUAAAUUACUCCUAAUAAAACUUAAUAGCGAACAUAAAAUAAAUAAAAUAUAAACAAAAUUCAAUUAAAUAAAUAUCCAACAAAAUAAAUAGAAGUUCAUCUUAGAAUUCUAACUUAAAAAGAUUUAGUUAGACAUGGUAACUAAAAAGAAAUUACUAAAGAUAAAAACAUAACCUAAAAAGAUUUAGUUAGACAUGGUAACUAAAAAGAAAUUACUAAAGAUAAAAACAUACCCUAAAAAGAUUUAGUUAGACAUGGUAACUAAAAAGAAAUUACUAAAGAUAAAAACAUACCCUAGACAUGAUCAGAGUAAAUGAGGAUUAUAGACAUGGUGCUAUGUUACAAAUGAAAAAGAUUAAUACACCAUACAAGGCUUAAUCCUAAUUUUGAUUACAAAACCCGUCACAAAACAAGCUUCAUUUCCAAAAAACAGUUUGACCCAUGUUUGUAUUUAACUCAAAAAAACAUUGAAUCCAAAAAAAAAUCCUUAUACAACUCAAAACAAAAUAUAAUCAUUAUAAGCUCAAAAUCAAAGCGAGUGAUCGGUAAAGGAAUAGUACCUUGAAACAUAAGACGCGAUUGAGAAGAAGAUGACGCGAUUGAGAGGUUGAUGAAGGAGAAGAAGAUGAAGAAAAGUGUUUGCAUGAUGGUGUAAAGCACUAUCUUCUUUUUUCUUUUUCUUUUCUUUUUUGACAAUGAUAAACACUACGUUCUAUGUGGGGCUGGGAUAAGCCCUUUGUGCACGAAAAUGAAAAUAAUCCACCUUUUUUUUUCCUUUCAUAAAGCCAGAACAAUAGCGUUUGUGUAAAAACACUAUUUAUACCCUCCCUCCAACAAUAGCGUUUCCUGAAAAGCGCUAUUAAUGAGUACCAAAUAAUAGGGUUUGUAGAAAAGUACCAUCUAACCUAGUUUUUAACAUGUUUUUCUUAGCGCUUUCUAAAAAGUCCUAAAAAGUGUUAUAACAUGUCUAUGCGUUGCAUUUUUAAUAGUAUUUAUCUAGAAGCUCUAUUAAAAUUCUGCUAUUGAAAUUUAAAAUUGUGGUAGUGACUUUUGUUCUAAGCUAAUGUGCAUCACCAUUGAACAAAGCAAAGCUCUAUCGGUUACUAAGUAUGCAUAUGCAUUAAAUGCAUUGAAACUUACUUUUUAACACUCUCAAGAUCCACCACUAAAUAUUCUAUUUAUUGAUAUUGCUAAUAGAUUCCUAUUAAGAUUAAAAAAAAAUAAAGGAAAACACUAAUAAAUACAAUAGCUAUAGCUUUGUCGUCGCCUAGAGUUCACAUGAAAUCCAACAAAAAAUUUCCUUUUUUUUUUUAUUUCCCUUUUCUGUCAUGAAAGGUUAUAGAAUAAAAAAAAUCUUUGUAAAAUAAGAAUGAAUGAUUAAGAUUGUUAAGUUACUUUAAUUAACCUCAUUACUAAGGGUGAUGGAAAGACAAACACAAAACAUUCAUGUACUCAAGAGAGGUUUAAUUAUAAUAUUUUAUAUCACCGCUUUUCGAUUCCCACGAGUGAUAAUUUUCCGUCAAAAAAAAAAAUCACCGCUUUACAAUUUGUGCUAAAAGAAAACUUACAACACAUUUAAUAAGGAUGAGGAAUGAGAAUGAGAACGUUCUCCUAAGCAAUUUAAUGUAUUUAAGGUGCGAGUAGGCUUUAUAAAUCAUAAAGUUAUAAAACCAUAUCUCAUAUAUGCAAAUGGGAGAGAGUAUGGCGAAAAUUGUAAAGUUUGUUUAUUUUGUGAUUAUCUUUGCUUCUCCAUUUGUUGUUGCAAACCAUGAAAGUAAGCCAGUUUUUAUCCUUCAAAAGUUUUCUUAGCUAGAUUCUACAAAAUGUUUUUAUCUCAUUUUACUAACAUCAUUUAUUCAACAAUAACAGUCAGCGGAUGGAUCACAGAACUUCCUUUUGGCAUGUGUACUUCUAUUCUUGAUUGUCCAAUGGAUAGUUGCACACAUCCUCAACAACCUUGGUGUGAAUUACAUGGUGUCCCUAUUCUGUAUCAUGGAUCCGAAAUAGGACUCUGUAUAUGUAUUUGAGUGUUGUGCUCGUAACAUUCUACUAAAAAGAUCUAUAAGUUUUCAUUUCGUAAUUUUAUCGGAACCCAAUAAUUUGUAUUUUUUACAUUUUCUGUUUUCACGAACCAUAUAGCUAUGGUUUUGUACUCUAAGAUGAUCGCAAUAAAAUUAAACAUGGAAUUUAAAAUUAAUGUUUAGAUUUAAUUCAUGGCCAUCAUUUUAUACUUAUGUCAUAAAUUGUUACGCUUAUGAUUUUUAUUAAACUACAAUUUACAUUUCUCUUUUAUUUAAUUUUUUUUAACAAAAUCAAAUGAUUUAUUUUCCUAAGCAACCCGCCCUUGAGGAUCCAAAACAACAAGAAUUGGCUUAUUCUUGUAUUUCGAUUCACUCUGUAUGAACCAAACCACUGCCUUGCUUAUCAAUGAAGGAUGAUACAUUGAAAACCAUGGCAUACAUUCUCUUUGGUUCUAAAAUUGCAUUUGUCUACUUCUCAAAUCAUCAACAUAAGAUAUAACAAGUAUUUAUAUUGCCACUUGAUCACCAAUUCAAGUAUAUAUGAUUAACACUUCAUCAUCAUCACCAAUUAUCACAUGAACACACAUAGUCAUGUACAAAUCUUCACACAGAUUCACAUAAUCAAGUUGUGACUCUCACAUAGACUCGUAUGUAUGCGAUGUUCUAGUUUGACUCUAUAUGCAUGUGGUACAAAGUUUUGGAUGUCGGACUUAUGUUACCGGGUGAUUGUAACACCCCGAUUUUUAAUAUUAGUUUAUUAAUAUUAUUUUUAGAUAAUAUUAGUAUUAAUGUUAGUAUUAGUAUAUGUUUUUAGGUAGUAUUAAUUUAAAUAUUCGUAUCUAUUGGAAGAAUAGGUAAUGAGAAAAUAGAUGGGUUGGUUAGUCGUUUAAAGAGUGAGAGAAAAUAAUAUUUAGAAAGAAAAUAGAGUUUUUUUUUUAGAGAAAAUAAGAAAUUAGAGUGCGAACGGGAGGAUCAGUAAAAUUGGGAUGAAAAGAGGUGUAGUUAGUGAGACGAGUAGUACUUUAAUGAUUUAAGUAGAUGGGAGUGUGAAUAGCAAGGCGGUGUAGCUACAGAAAUAAUAGUAACAAUAUAUAGAGGUGCAGAUAGUAAUCUGAAAAGAUUAGUAACAAACCUGGAGGACAUAUAGUAAUCUAAAAAAAUUGGUAACAAACUCAAUUAGAGCUUAUAAAUAGAGAAAAGAAUUAGAGAAGAAGGGUUACUUAGCAAGAGAGAAACAAAGCGGCAAAAGAAAACAUAGGGUUGUGGAGAAAAGAGUUAAGGAGGCAAACCGAGAAGAAUCUAGAGAGAGAUUUUACAGUAGUAAUUCAUCAAAUUCUCCGAACUAGAGGUAAGGGGGGAGUUUUAUUCAUUGUAAGGGUUGUGUAAUCAUGUGGAUAGUGAAGGGUUGUUAAUUUUCAUUAUUUUCUUAUUCCUUUGAUGAUCUAUGAUUAAAUUCGUGUUCUUGUUUUUUGUUGCUGUUAUUAUUUGUAGAUUUUUGUUUCUAAAGUUGUGAUGUUUUCAUGUUAAAUUUGUGAUUGAAAUAUAGUGAUGUUCUGAUUUUUCUUUAAGAGAAUAAAAACCAUGACUACUCGCAAUCGGAUUCUGAUUACUUCUAAACUUUAUAUGGUUUUGAAUUGGUAAUUUUAUAAUCAAUUUAUUAAGUCAUUAAUGUUUAUAUUACCUUUGAUUUGCUGCUAUAAGUUACACUAUUAUUUAUUUUUUUGGCUUGUGAGAAAUUAUUCUUGUUAUUUUCCAUCGCUACUAACACCGUAGAUUCUAGUUCAUUCAAUUUAAUUGCCGUAACCAUUCACUGUUGAUGUACCUACUUUGAUUUAAUUUGUGGAUUACUAUUACUGUGGUCUUGUGUGGAUUAUAACUUGAGUUCCAUAAUGAAAACUACUUAGUGUGCCAUGCCAAUUUAAUAUUAAUGGUCGUGAAUUGUUCUUUAAAAAGGCUGUAGCUUGAUUUAUUUAUUUUAUUCUCUAUAUUGACAAAAGUUGAGUGAACAUAGUAUAUUUUUAUUCCUUUGAUCGAGAAACUUUGGCAAUUUUCAUAGUUUGAUUUAGAUUAUUUGUUUUAAAAGAAUUAAUUGAUCUUUCUUUUUCUUUUAUUGGAAAAGUAUUAAAUAACGAGUAAAGAUGUGUUCUAUAAGGAUGUGUUAUUUGAAGAUGUGUGAUUUAAAGAUGUGUUAUAUAAAGAUGUGCUAUUUGAAGAUGUGUGAUUUAAAGAUGUUUUAUAUAAAGAUGUGAUAUUUGACGAUGAUGCUAUUUAAAGAUGUGUAUUUGUCGAGUCAUUUAAAUAUGUGCAUUUGUUGAGUCAUUACUUGGUGUUCAUGCAUUCAUGGUCAGUCCGAUUUAAAGAUGUGUUUAAAGAUGGGGGAUAAAUCAAUAACAUAACUCUGAUAUCCAAAACCGGUACCACAUGCAUAUAGAGUCGAGUUAGAGACAUUGCAUACAUAACUGUAUGACUAUUUGAAGAUGUGUAAUUAAAAGAUGUGAUAUAUUAAGAUGUGUACCUAUUUAAAGAUGUGAUAUUCAAUGACGUGCUUCUAUAUGAUUAUGUGUGAAUGAUUUGUAUUUUAUUAAUGUCUACUUGAUAUUCUUAAAUGUUAUUGAUGCUUAUAUGUUAUUAUAAGAUGUUGAUUGAUGCCUAUUUGAUUUUUAUUAAAUGAAAUUUUAUAUCUAAAUGUGAAUGUUAUCUGACUAUGAUGCAUAUAUGUCUAAAUGUAAUUGUUGUGUUCUUUUAUCUGAAUCUAUACAUGUGUUUAUGCAUCUCUUAUGUUGAAUAUAUUCUCACCCUCUAGUGGCGGGUUGGGCGCCUGCACCCUUGUGGUGUAGAUUUGCAGGAAGAAGAUCUUAGUAGCAGUGAGUCUCGGAGGAUGGCGUUGGAGCCUUCUCCAUUUUAUGUGUCGCUUUUUGGAGUCUUUAUUGAGUCGAUGCUCUGAUCUGUGACACUAGGGAUUGGGAAUUUAUUUUAUUUUAGAUUAGGUUUUAGAAUUCUUUUGAAUUUAAUUUUGAUGUUGAUACAAAUGAUGUAAAAGUUACUUUGAUGUUUUGAAAAAUUUAUUUUGUUGUUACCAUUUUAAUUUAAAUUAAGUAUUUUGAAAUUGAAGAAGAUGUGUGACACCCUUGUAUGUUUAAUUAAUUAUUGUACUUUUAUUAGAAAAUAAUAUGUGGGGUUUAGGGUGUUACAGCGAUCCCCCAUCUUUAUAUCAUUGGAUAAUCGUAGGUAUAUUACCUAUUAAUUGACCCGUGUUUAAAUACCCGAUUGACCAUCAUGCAUGGAUAUCAAGUAUAGAAUCGACAAUGCACGACUCCAUAUAGUUCAUGUUACAUGAUCACUUCUUCACAUAACAUAACAAUUCACUAACACACCAAAGCAUCGUCAAAUCAUAAACCUCACUAAUGAUUUAAACACGUUAAAAACGCUAAUACCUCUGAUUUUGUUUAUCUUCAAAAGAUUUACCCCUUUCUUCUCUACUUUAUUCUUUCUUAUCCCAUAGACCCAUAAACCUCACUACCUGAUAACCUAACCUUCAUCCAUCCUUAUAUAUAUAUAUAUAUAUAUAUAUAUAUAUAUAUAUAUAUAUAUAUAUAUAUAUAUAUAUAUAUAUAUAUGGGUGGGGAUAUUUUGACUCCAAGAGUAAGUGUAAUAUCUUACUCCAAAUCUUGACCUUUAAUUCCAAUUUUGGUUAAUGACUUAGAUUAAUUGGUAUGGUAGGCUUUAAUUCCAUUUUCUAUUGUAGUCAACACUUAUCACCACAAAAUAACAAAACAAUAAAUGACAUUUAAUUAAUUGAUUGAUUUUUUUUCUUCCAUUGUUUUUUUUCCUUUCAUGCUAAAAGAAUUUUUAUUUUGGAUUUUAUGUUCUUGUUUUGUUAUGUUAUGUUGGAUUCACAUGUUUUUUUAUGUUAUGUUGAAUUCUUGAGCUCUUUCUCAAAUAACAUCAUCUAUGUAUGUCUAUGACAACAAAAACUAAUUACGAUGGAGAUGAUUAUUUUAAUUUGUCGUAUAAAUAAAUACACAAUUUUUUUUUUUAUGCAAUUAUUGUAAAUGAAUUAGAUAUAAGAAAAGACUAGGGUUACUUCCUCUAUCGUCUUUUUUUUCGUGACAGAUUAAUACAAAGAUGUGCGUUUAUAAAAAAUAUAAGAAAAGAUCAGGAUUAUAAUGAAGAAACUAAACAAAAUAUGUCGUAUAAAAAAUAGUAACGGAAGAAGAAUAAAUAUGCAAUUCUUUGAAUUUUAGAAUUGUUUUCUUUUAAAAAAAAAUAUAUGCAAUUAUUUUAGCGUAAAAAAAGUAAAGGGAGAAGAAAAAAAAUCAAUGGGAGAAGAAAAAAAAUCUUUUUGCGUAAAAAAAAUAUAUGCAAAUUUUUUCUUAUGCAAUUUUUUAGAAUGAAUAGAAUGAGUGAUUCUUGAAAUUUUUCUUUUAAGGAAAGGAUUUUAAGUUAACCCUAAAAAAUUAUUUUAACGUGAAAAAAAAUCAAUCAAUUAAAAGACAUUUAUUGUGUUUUUUUUUUUGUUGACAAGAGACAUUUAUUGUUUUGUUAUUUUGUGGGGAUAAAUGUUAACUACAAUAGAAAAUGGAAUUAAAGCCUACCGUAUCAAUUAAUCUAAGCCAUUAAUCAAAAUUGAAAUUAAAGAUCAAGAUUUGGAGUAAAAUAUUACACUUACUCUUGGAGUCAAAAUAUCCCUACCCUAUAUAUAUAUAUAUAUAUAUAUAUAUAUAUAUAUAUAUAAGUCUUCCUUGAUGAUUUUAGUUUGAAGGCAUUCAAUGGCUACAAUUUAGUCAAACUCUUAAGAAUGAGGAAUGUCAUGCGAUUGUAAUGAUGGGGAAAGAUUAAAUUAAAUAAUUAAAUGGCAUCAAUUGCUCCUAAGUAUCUAACCAAGGGUUAUGAUCAUUUGAAAUAAAUUACUUAAUAGCGAACAUAAAAUAAAUAAAAUAUAAAUAAAAUUGAAUUAAAUAAAUAUCCAACAAAAUAAAUAUAAGUUCAUCUUAGAACUCUAACCUAAAAAGAUUUAAUUACACAUGAAAAAGAUUAAUACACAAUACAAGGCUUAAUCCUAAUUUUGAUUACAAAAUCCAUCACAAAACAAGCUUCAUUUCCAAAAAACAGUUUGACCCAUGUUUGUAUUUAACUCAAAAAAACAUUGAAUCCAAAAAAAAAAAAUCCUUAUAUAGUGAAAAAAAUCCUUAUACAACUCAAAACAAAACAUAAUCAUUAUAAGCUCAAAAUCAAAGCGAGUGAUCGGUAAAGGAAUAGUACCUUAAAACAUAAGACGCGAUUGAGAAGAAGAUGACGCGAUUGAGAGGUUGAUGAAGGAGAAGAAGAUGAAGAAAAGCGUUUGCAUGAUGGUGUAAAGCACUAUCUUCUUUUUUCUUUUUCUUUUCUUUUUUGACAAUGAUAAACAC
rnacentral:lncRNA from 1 species